rnacentral:lncRNA from 8 species
CAGUAUGCCAACUAGGGAGCCAAACGAACGGUUCUUUCACAGAUGCGAUUCCGUUCACCAAAAAGAGCCAAUCAAAAAGAGCCGUUCAUUCGCAACGACCCAUCACUAGUUCCAACGAGUCCACUGUCGGCCAAUUGCCCUCUAUAUAUCACCAACACAACAUUGCUUGCUCAAUACAAAGAGAGCGCGGAUUCAUAAAGGCGCACGGUGAUUUGUAUUUAUUUCUACCACCACUGGAGCGGUCCAAGGUGCUGAAACAUGAAUCAAAGUGCGGGAGUAGCCCAAACUGUUCGUCGUUACUCUUCUGAUGAUAAGGAUGUGCCGGAUUUUGGGCCAGACAGGAACUGGAAAGGUAUCGCCAUCUCUCUGCUGGUCAUCGUGGUCAUACUGUCACUCAUUGGACUGACCAUCGUUCUUCUUUCCAAAAGUAAAUUCCUGGAGUUAUUUUCUUUUACAUAUAAUCUCAAAACCUGAUUCACAUCAUUUCAAAAGAAGACCUUGGUUCUAACUUUUCACCAUUCUCAAUAAAUGCAGCUUUUCAAAAACAGACGAAGAGCUACCUGCUUAGAAUUUAGUCUUACAAUUUAAAACUAACACCUUUCAUUUAAUCCCUAUUGAAAUGAAUGAGAUCUACAGUAAGUUAAAAGUUCAACACUCCAUUGCCUUUCUAUUAAGCAAAUGGAGGUUAUUCACUCUGGGAUGAUGACCAUUUUCAGAGACAAUGGGCGCAUUCGAGCGUAAAACUUUUGUCAAGACUUUGACCAACGUUGGGUCACCGCUUUUCAAAGUGUGUUGCAUUUUGGGUAAAAAAAAAAAAUCUGACUUGUGACUACAUGUUAACUGCAUGACCUUUACCACAACCAUGUGAUCAAAGGUCAUGAACUUUCAACUGCAGUCGGUUAAAAUUUCGGCAGUUGCUCCUCACAAACUGCAACUUGAAGUCGGAACCAAAGCAUUGUGGAAGACAACCUUAUGUUUCUUUUGGAAGCAAAAGGCACUACAUGCUCAUACAGUAUAUGGUUGAUGUCGCAACAUAUCAUUGGUUAUUAUCAAUGCAUGUUUUAGGUGGAUGACUAUUUUGAGCUUAAAUACAUAUUUAUCCGUACAUCCUUACAAUCUAACUACAUAGUCCUACAUGUGAUCUAAAUUUCUAACAAAAUAAAUGAAGUAUCCCACUUGUGACAAUAUAGGUAAUGUACUGAUCUAGAUGUUACUGUAAUGUUGUGUCCCAUGUUAUAGCCUCCAAUUUGUCUUGUCUGUGUUAAUGUUGUCACCAAACAAAUUAAAAUGUCUUAAUUGUCUAUUAAGUGUGAGUAAAAUGGAAUACAUAUUGUAGGCUAUACAGUACAUGGGUUAUUGUAGGGGAAUUCUACACUGGCAAUUUUAUAGGUUUAAUCUGUGCCUGGGAAACCGGCCCUUAAUGAGCAAGUACCCCAGACACCAGUCGUGGGGUCAAUACCAACAGCAUUUGACUGCUUGGCAUAUUCCUUGGCAUAUUUUUUACCCAGCAACUUAUUUGAGCUGAUGUACUGUACAUGUAUAGUCUAAUAGUUUUCA